CGUGAUCCGCCCUUCGGGGUGGUGAAAGUGGCGCACGGGUGAGUAACGCGUGGAUAAUCUGCCCGAGGAUUUGGGAUAACAUCUCGAAAGGGGUGCUAAUACCGAAUAAGCCCACGGGGUCUACGGAUCUUGCGGGAAAAGGGGGGGACCUUCGGGCCUCCUGUCCUUGGAUGAGUCUGCGUACCAUUAGCUAGUUGGUGGGGUAAUGGCCUACCAAGGCGACGAUGGUUAGCUGGUCUGAGAGGAUGAUCAGCCACACUGGAACUGAGACACGGUCCAGACUCCUACGGGAGGCAGCAGUGGGGAAUUUUGCGCAAUGGGGGAAACCCUGACGCAGCAACGCCGCGUGGGUGAUGAAGGCCUUCGGGUCGUAAAGCUCUGUCUGGAGGGAAGAAAUGAUUGGGAGCUAAUACCUCUUGAUCUUGACGGUACCUCUGA
rnacentral:rRNA from 1 species